GGCUUCGUAGCUCAGCUGGUAGAGCGCUUGCCGCGUUAGUGUUUCUGUCGCUGGUUCGAAUCCAGCCGAAGCCC